rnacentral:lncRNA from 1 species
GUAAGUGCUUUCAGAAUUCUUACGCAAUGAUUAUUAUGUUAUAAUUUCAGGUUUUAAUAAGAAAAAUGGAAAAGUGUUUAAAGAUAAAAGCAGCUGCGGCUUUUUGGGCAGUGUAUGUAUGAAGACAGUUCAGAACCAUGCAUUUUAAGUCCACAACCUGCAUGAUCUGCGAACUGGAGCCUGCCUUCUUCCAUCGACUUGAAGGAGUGGGAGUCAUGUCUUCUUCAAUCUGCAACCUACACGACCAAAAGGCCGGGGCACAUGUCUUCUUCCAUCUGCAACGUGCCGGAGGCAACGAUGAGCCUAUCUCAUAGAUGUUAAAAUGGUAAAUGGCUACCUUUAUGCUGUGGCAAAACAAAAACAUCAACUUAGCAAUAGAACCAGCAACAACAGAAUCUUACAAAAAAAAAUUGAUCGAUGAAAACUAAUUUUGGAUUAAAGUUCGACGGAAACAACCACUUGCAUACCAGAGGUCUGCCAUGGUUCCUCGGUUCGUCUCGGGAUUUUGACAAACCUCUGAUGGAUGAGAAUGCAUUUUAUAAGGUCUAGUAAAAGUUUAGAUUCAAACUGAAAAUGUGAAAUCUUCUUUAACACCCAAAUAAAGAGACAAUAUAUACGUGUUUUUGCAAAAGCCAGUGUCAAGUAUGAAGAAAGAAGAUCUUUGUAUUUCAAAACUUAGCAGCAAGAAAUUAAUCUGACAGCAUGUGAUUCUAACAGAGGCUGCAUGGGCUUUUAAUACUUCAAGGUGGUGUGUUAUAUAAAUGGAUGUAUACAUGGUUGACGGUAUUUGUUUAACACCAUAAUUCAUUACGUACAUGAAAGAAAUGAAACAGUCAAACCUGUUCUUAAGAUACCUGUGAACACUGACCACCUGUAUUUAAGAAAACAUUACUUUAAUAAUGUCCGUUUUUCAUAACUGAAGAUGUGGAUAAAGACCACCUGCAAAAAUAUCCUCCUUCAGCUCUACAAAACAUGGUCUACCGAUACAAGAACCAGCUUAUACCAAAGUUCCAUCUUGGUGGUGGCUCUUUUCUCCUUUCCUAGACUAAAUAUAUACUUUAGUCGUUGUAGUGAAUAGAAGCAUAAUAAAAUGUAGUCAUAUCUUGGACACGAUGAGAAAUCCCGGUGAAUUUUCUGUGAUUUUUUUUUCAUCUUGGCUCCUCUUACACGGACGAUUUUUUAAAAUUCCAAAUCGGAUAUUUACUCUUUACAACGGACAGGCAAAAUGCUCGGCAACAAAGUAUUAAUCAUAAAAUGCGUUUGUGUAACAGAACAACUACAGUUAGAAACUGUUUAAACCGUCCGUCGUAAGGUUUGAACUGGGGGUAUUUACGUAAUGUUUCACCUACCGAAAAUAGUUCCUUUCUAUUACAGUGUAAGCGGGGCCAGCAAUUCAUUAAUUUUCGAGUAACAUCAUUUAAUACCAUUAACGAAGGAAUGAGUGUAACAUUACCUGUGUAAAUAAUCAUCUUAGUUAUUUUAUGGUGCAUGAGAAUCAUCUAUCAUUUUAUGUAUGUUCAAAAAUAUUGGUAUUUGAAUUUCUGUACAGCGACGCAGAUACGGCCAUUUUGUAUAACUGAUAAUAUUGUUAGUCACUUUUUAACAUCUUCACAUAUGAGUACAUGCAAAGAGCGAGUGAUACAUUCUUUGAAAAAAGAUCAAAAAUGUGCUUUUCUAGGGACCUUCCAAAAAGGGUACUGAGCAGCGACUUUCCAUAACUUAUAAAAUAUUAAAGUCAAUGAAACGUUAAGCGGUUGCCUUUGUUAAAUAUCUUUUUUGUUACAAAAGGGGGUUCUGCAUGACUGGUCGCUAGAAAAAUACAGUUUUGGCCAAAUCAUAAAUAAAUACUGCAGUUCCGAACUACGGGUAUAUUAAAUUUUGUACCAAGCAGACGACCGUAGAAAACAUCCGUUUCUUGUCGUCUUGCUGAAACAAAUUUAAUGCGGAGAAUACAGGACCGGUGAAAUUUCAUAUUUUAGUGUUAAUCUGUUUUGUCAUUAGUGUAACAAUAAGCAUGAUUGAAUGAAUUUUGUCAGUAAUGUUAAAAUGACGUCAUGGUAUAAAUGGCGUAGUGAAUCUAUCGUUAUGUCGUAAGAACACACAUUUUAAAACUUUAUACAACUGAAAGAUAAAUGCUAUGAAAGACUCGUACUAAUUCUAGAUCUAAAAAUUAAAACAAAUUCAGUUUCAUUCUAGUACAGCUUCUCCAGAUAUAUACAUUUGUAAUCUGAUACAUUUUUAGUGCUGAUACUUUUAGGGCAUACACACAGGACUGUUGACUGAAAAUUUGGUAUCGAUGUAUCAGCUGAUACAUAUCGACAAUACAUCGAUGUACCGACCUUGCUCUUAUGCAGCCAAGGUUAAAUAACAAUUUUGCACCAGAAUUUUAUAAGUUCAUGUUCUUUUGAGUAUUCAUGGGGGGAGUAUAUUUUUUGCAAGUUUGUGAUUUUUUUCUAAUUAUACGGUUAUUCCAGUAUCCUGUUUCGAUAUAUCAUUGACAUGAAAAUAUCGCCUAUACAUCGAUAUCAAAAUUAGCGAUGGCAGCUUUACUUGUUCAUCUAUUGAUAUUUUUGUACUGGUAUAUAUAUAGUAAGUUUAAUUCAUUACUCCUAUAUAAAGGUUAUUGACCUGUAUUCAUGUGGUAACUUUAUACUCUUACACUAUGAAUAAGUAUUUUCCAAAUGACAUACUAAUGGAUCACAUUAAGAUAUAAUUUUGUUUCGGUCAAAUGAUAAAUUACAAUUGUGGCAAUUAAAUUAUGUACAUCAAGAGAUAUAUUCUUUGUAUAAUAAUUAUAGAAGUAAGAAAGUUUUCUCUUCUUUUUUUUCAUAAGCAACUAGAUAAAGACCUAUAUGUUUUUUACAAAAAUUGUGGAAAAUCAGAAAUAGGACUGGCGUCAUCCUUGUAAGUUCAGAACCUUAUUUCUCAGGAUUUUUCUCUCAAAAAAAAAAAAAAAAAAAAAAAUACACCCCAUAUACCCCUGAAUAAACACUCCAGGAGCAUUACAUUUGGCGAAGUGCUUGAAGUCCCUAUUUAGGUGCCAACUUUAAAAAAAAUACAAAUUUCAAAAUGAAUACAAGGAUAAUCCCAGCUUCUAAUGAAUCUUAACCAUUUACCAAACUAAGCGGACUAAAAAUCUCUAUGGCAUAUGGCAAAUAUGGGUGGGCAUUUAGUAGGAGGAAUAUGGUACAUAAAUAUACUACUGUAAGCUACCGGUACCAUAAUUAUAUACUUGGUUCAAGCAACACUCCUUUUUAUUUUACAAAAUUCAGUAGGAACAGAUAGUAUUACGACUAUGUUAUACAAUCCUUAUUUGUCAUAUAAAAUUAGUUAUCACUAGCCAUGAUUCCUGACAAUGUGGUAUUUGAUGAUUUGUAGUUAUUUCAUAUAUGGAGAAGAAUUUAUAUAAGUUUUAAAUAACUUCUUUUCCGAUUCCAUUAAUUUCAUGCAUUUAUUGUUGUAUACCAUGUAUGUCAAACUUGCUGAAAUAAAGUUUAAAUCAAGCUAGUACAAUAUCUAAAACUAUGAAGCAUAUUUUAGUUAUGGAUAUCCAAAGCAAGUCAUUUAUUUUGACCUUCCCUUUGACUUUUAUCUGUUCAAAUUUUAUUUGUUUUUGUUCCUUUUGUAGCCAGUAAGCAAGAUAAUGUAAUAUGUAUAUAUCACAACAGAUGUAAUUUUAUUUAAAUGAAUUCAAUUUGCGAUUUCUCUGUUAAAUUAAUUUCACAGUUCCAUUAUUUGAUGAAUGCAAUGUGUUACUAUUGAGUGAAUUUGAUGUGACAUUGUUAGGUAAUUUCAUAGUUCCAUUAUUUAAUGUUUGCAAUGUGCUAUUAUUGAGUGAUUUCAAUAGAAAUUAGAAAUUG